CACGUAGGUGGCGAACGUUAUCCGGAAUUAUUGGGCGUAAAGGAUGCGUAGCUGGUGUAGUAAGUUAUCGGUGGCAAAUCGAGGCUCAACCUCGUGGAAGUCGGUAAUACUGCUAUGCUAGAGGAUAGGAGAGGUUAACGGAACUCCCUGUGGAGCGGUGAAAUGCGUAGAUAUAGGGAAGAACACCAAUAAGGCGAAGGCAGUUAACUAUUCUAUUCCUGACAUUGAGGCAUGAAAGCGUGGGGAGCAAAACGG
rnacentral:rRNA from 1 species